AUUGAACGCUGGCGGCAGGCUUAACACAUGCAAGUCGAACGGUAACAUGAAGAAGCUUGCUUCUUUGAUGACGAGUGGCGAACGGGUGAGUAAUGUAUCGGAACGUGCCCAGUAGUGGGGGAUAACUACUCGAAAGAGUGGCUAAUACCGCAUGAGAUCUCUGGAUGAAAGUGGGGGACCGCAAGGCCUCACGCUACUGGAGCGGCCGAUAUCAGAUUAGGUAGUUGGUGGGGUAAAGGCCCACCAAGCCUGCGAUCUGUAGCUGGUCUGAGAGGACGACCAGCCACACUGGGACUGAGACACGGCCCAGACUCCUACGGGAGGCAGCAGUGGGGAAUUUUGGACAAUGGGCGCAAGCCUGAUCCAGCAAUGCCGCGUGCAGGACGAUGGCCUUCGGGUUGUAAACUGCUUUUGUACAGAACGAAAAGGCUCUGGUUAAUACCCGGGGCUCAUGACGGUACUGUAAGAAUAAGCACCGGCUAACUACGUGCCAGCCGCCGCCGUAGUAC
rnacentral:rRNA from 1 species